AACGAACGCUGGCGGCAGGCUUAACACAUGCAAGUCGAACGCCCCGCAAGGGGAGUGGCAGACGGGUGAGUAACGCGUGGGAACGUGCCCUUCGCUUCGGAAUAGCCCCGGGAAACUGGGAGUAAUACCGGAUACGCCGUAUUGGGAAAGAUUUAUCGGCGAAGGAUCGGCCCGCGUUGGAUUAGCUAGUUGGAGGUGUAAUGGACCCCCAAGGCUACGAUCCAUAGCUGGUCUGAGAGGAUGAUCAGCCACACUGGGACUGAGACACGGCCCAGACUCCUACGGGAGGCAGCAGUGGGGAAUCUUGGACAAUGGGCGCAAGCCUGAUCCAGCCAUGCCGCGUGAGUGAUGAAGGCCUUAGGGUUGUAAAGCUCUUUCAGUAGGGAAGAUAAUGACGGUACCUACAGAAGAAGCCCCGGCUAACUUCGUGCCAGCCGCCGCCGUAACAC
rnacentral:rRNA from 1 species